GUAUAAAUCAAUAUGGAUGCCGUCUCGCUGUUUUUUGGACUGUAGAUUCGUUACAAACAAUUGUAAGCUGGAGCAAUGAUAUAAAUAUUUAUAUCUUCUUCCCAGUUAUGUUGGUUAGCAAGUCGGGUAGUACAUCAAUCGGUUUUCCGCUGAUUACUCAAGAGCGCUUGGGCCUAGAAUAAUUAAAGUUGAUAGGGAGGAUGGUCAUGACCAGCAGAUGACCUCUAUUGAUUUUGAGGCCAAGUUCCCCAAGAUAACCAUACAUUUGCUCCAAGAAAAUGAAAAGAAAAAGAGGUGUUCAAUAGUAUGCACUAUGCAAUGAAGUGCAAGUCAAUAGUUACUGAAGUCAGGUACCCUCAUAUUGCCGCAUUUCAGAAAGUGGUUCGCAAUAAACACCCUACUUUCGUUUUCAAGUAAACAGUUUGA